rnacentral:rRNA from 1 species
UCCAGACUCCUACGGGAGGCAGCAGUGGGGAAUAUUGCACAAUGGGGGAAACCCUGAUGCAGCGACGCCGCGUGAGCGAUGAAGUAUUUCGGUAUGUAAAGCUCUAUCAGCAGGGAAGAAAAUGACGGUACCUGACUAAGAAGCCCCGGCUAACUACGUGCCAGCAGCCGCGGUAAUACGUAGGGGGCAAGCGUUAUCCGGAUUUACUGGGUGUAAAGGGAGCGUAGACGGCUGUGCAAGCCAGAUGUGAAAGCCCGGGGCUCAACCCCGGGACUGCAUUUGGAACUGCGUGGCUAGAGUGCAGGAGGGGCAGGCGGAAUUCCUGGUGUAGCGGUGAAAUGCGUAGAUAUCAGGAGGAACACCGGUGGCGAAGGCGGCCUACUGGACUGCAACUGACGUUGAGGCCCGAAAGCGUGGGGAGCAAACAGGAUUAGAUACCCUAGUAUG